CAGGCCUCUUCAGCACUUCAGAUCCCAAGUGAAACAAGAAAUGGGAGGAUGCAGAGCAAAGCCCAUGAGUACACAGAAUUGGGAAUAGCUGCCAGCCAGAGCUGCUCUGAGGGAAAGGCAGUGGCUGUGUACCUGCCCUGCUCAGGGAGGACAGGAGAACAAUUAAAUGGUUUACCUUCCUCAGAAUAAGUACUUUCCUGAAACAUGGCUGGAAAGAAAGAAAGAAUCCUAUUGGCAUUCCCACUGGUGAAAGUCAGAACAUAAGGGUUUGGAUCCCAUCCAGUAACAGAACUAAAUCCAGUCCUGUGUCAAGAUGAUGCCAGGGGGUUGCAGAUGCCAAGCACAGGUAAGAAGGGACUCUGCAUUACCACUACUGUCUUCUCUCUGCUUUCUUCUGCACUCCUAUUUGUGAGAAUUCUCCCCUGCUUUCUCCAAGUCAGUGGGAUUCCCAACAAGUUUUCAGCAAGAACAGGAAUAACAAUGACUGCAGG